UGUGGGAGCUGGCUUGCCUGCGAUGACGGUGUGUCAGUGGCGGAUGAGUUGGCUGAUCCACCGCUAUCGCAGGCAAGCCAGCUCCCACA
rnacentral:misc_RNA from 1 species